rnacentral:rRNA from 1 species
AGAGUUUGAUCAUGGCUCAGAAUCAACGCUGGCGGCGUGCCUCAGACAUGCAAGUCGAACGCGAAAGCUCCCUUCGGGGAGCAAGUAGAGUGGCGCACGGGUGAGUAACACGUAGGUAAUCUACCUUCGGAUGGGGAAUAACAACCGGAAACGGUUGCUAAUACCGCAUAAUGCAGCGGCACCUAAUGGUGACAGUUGUUAAAGCGGGGGAUCGAAAGACCUCGCGUCUGAAGAGGAGCCUGCGGCAGAUUAGCUAGUUGGUAAGGUAACGGCUUACCAAGGCGAUGAUCUGUAGCCGGCCUGAGAGGGCGGUCGGCCACACUGACACUGACAUACGGGUCAGACUCCUACGGGAGGCAGCAGUCGGGAAUUUUGGGCAAUGGGCGAAAGCCUGACCCAGCAACGCCGCGUGAAGGAUGAAAUCCCUCGGGAUGUAAACUUCGCAAGAACGGGAAGAAUAAGUGGGAGUUAAUAUCUCUCGCGAUGACGGUACCGUUUGUAAGCUCCGGCUAACUCCGUGCCAGCAGCCGCGGUAAUACGGGGGGAGCAAGCGUUGUUCGGAUUUACUGGGCGUAAAGGGCGCGUAGGCGGCCACCGCAAGUCGACUGUGAAAUCUCCGGGCUCAACCCGGAAAGGUCAGCCGAUACUGCGGGGCUAGAGUGCAGAAGGGGCAACUGGAAUUCUCGGUGUAGCGGUGAAAUGCGUAGAUAUCGAGAGGAACACCUGCGGCGAAGGCGGGUUGCUGGGCUGACACUGACGCUGAGGCGCGAAAGCUAGGGGAGCGAACGGGAUUAGAUACCCCCGUAGUCC